AUGGUUAACGGCGAAGGUAGCAACGGAGCAGAGCACGCAGGCCACCUUUUUUGCCACCCCAACCAAACCGCCUCGUCCUCUUCACCUCUCCUACGCCCGCCCCCACAAACCCCAAACCCCAGUCUGUGCGCGAGUACGUACGCUCUCGGCUCUCCUCCCUCCCACUCGCACCCGCUGCCUGCCGCCGCUCGCUCGCUCGCCCACCGCGCGCACACGCCCAUCUCGUGCGAGCCCCACCUAAACCGACGACCCCCGCGGGAGCACGCCGCCGCCCGCCGCCGCCGGCGGCAUUGCAAGGUGCGCAAACCGCGGGCGCGGCCCCGUCUCCCUCCGCCCGCCCGCCUACCUGGCUCCGGCUCCAGCGCACGGAGAAGCGGCUCGUCGGCUCCACGGCGGUGGCGGCCAUCGCUCGCGCCGCCCUGGCGCGCCCCUGCUCCCGCGUCUCCGCAUCUGGCAUCGUCGCGGUACGAACCUAUCACGCUGCUGCACGCGCGUGUCUUUGUUUCAUUCUCGCCAUCUCGGGUUAAUCGCAACAACGGCAUGGUUUCAGUAGACCGAUUGCUGUCAAAUAUCGCUGUGGUAGAAGGCCCAAUUCGUUUGCCGAUUUAUUCGGGAUUUUUUUCUUCAGUUAGUACUCUGUUUGCGAAUUGUCUGCAACUUUGUGUGGAACUGUGGAUCCAUCUGCCAGUUCUUCGAUUUUCCUCCUCUUGUUGCGAAUUGACCACUAGGGGAGAUCUUUCCUUGUCCUCCUCAAAAUCCCCGUUGGGCCUCGGUUUUUUCCUCAUUGUACCAAAUGAAGCCUCGAGCAAGAGGUUUGCUGCGGCGGGGAUCUCUAGUCUGGGGUUGCAACUUCACGGGGGUGGAGGAGGAUCACUGCGGCUUCUCCUCAUGGGUCUUCCUAAUUAUAGCGUUCGGUGA
rnacentral:rRNA from 1 species